rnacentral:misc_RNA from 1 species
GUUUAUCCAAUGCAAUUUAAUCUUUACAAUAAUAUCAAUUUUUUAUUUCAAAUUUUAUUAAUUUGAAUUUUUUAUUUGAUUAAAAAAAAUACACUGUACAUACUUCUAAAGUAAAAAUUUAGGUAAGAAAAGGCAUUAAUUAACAACAAGGGAUAACUUUAUUAAAAUUAUGUUUAUGGCAAUUGGCAUCCACAUAUAGUGUUGACUUAGAGUGGUGCCAUCUGAAUCAGUUUAAUGUAUUUGCAUAGUUUUUUAAUAUAUUUUUCUUUAAUUUGUUUAAUGGUUUCCUUAUUAGA